rnacentral:rRNA from 1 species
UACGUAGGGGGCAAGCGUUAUCCGGAAUUACUGGGUGUAAAGGGAGCGUAGACGGUAAAGCAAGUCUGGAGUGAAAGGCCGGGGCCCAACCCCGGGACUGCUCUGGAAACUGUUAAACUGGAGUGCAGGAGAGGCAGGCGGAAUUCCUAGUGUAGCGGUGAAAUGCGUAGAUAUUAGGAGGAACACCAGUGGCGAAGGCGGCCUGCUGGACUGUAACUGACGUUGAGGCUCGAAAGCGUGGGGAGCAAACA